rnacentral:rRNA from 1 species
GAUGAACGCUGGCGGCGUGCCUAAUACAUGCAAGUCGAGCGAACAGACGAGGAGCUUGCUCCUCUGACGUUAGCGGCGGACGGGUGAGUAACACGUGGAUAACCUACCUAUAAGACUGGGAUAACUUCGGGAAACCGGAGCUAAUACCGGAUAAUAUAUUGAACCGCAUGGUUCAAUAGUGAAAGACGGUUUUGCUGUCACUUAUAGAUGGAUCCACGCCGCAUUAGCUAGUUGGUAAGGUAACGGCUUACCAAGGCAACGAUGCGUAGCCGACCUGAGAGGGUGAUCGGCCACACUGGAACUGAGACACGGUCCAGACUCCUACGGGAGGCAGCAGUAGGGAAGCUUCCGCAAUGGGCGAAAGCCUGACGGAGCAACGCCGCGUGAGUGAUGAAGGUCUUCGGAUCGUAAAACUCUGUUAUUAGGGAAGAACAAAUGUGUAAGUAACUAUGCACGUCUUGACGGUACCUAAUCAGAAAGCCACGGCUAACUACGUG